UCCCCCGGCCCCAGCCACUACGCCCCGGUGAGGAGCGACGUGUUCCUGCCGCGCUCCCCCCGCUGCACCAUCGUGGGGCGCACGGAACCCCCCAAGGCCGCCGCCACCCCCGGCCCCAGCGACUACAGCCCCCCGCAGGUCCGGCGCCAAGGGGUGACCUUCGGGGUGAAGCACUCGGAAUUCCGGGCCCCCGUGAUGAUGGACGCCAUGGAUUAGGGGACGUGUGGGUGGCAGAGCCCACCUGCGACAGACGGACAAACACGACCCUGCAGCAGCAGCA